rnacentral:lncRNA from 1 species
AUAUACAUAAUAUCACAGUCUGUUAGUAUAAUAUACACAUUUAGCAAACAUCCAAAAUUAUAUAAUGAUAGUGAAUUAUACCUGUUGGGUAUAAAAUACCCCCCAGCCGAAGUUCGUGACAGGAAUGACCCUCCGGGGAUUCUACCGACCUUCGGCGACAUCUCUCCAAACCUCUCAGGUGGCCGAGCCUCCGCAACACUCCCAAGUUUUGCCGACGGAUAAGCCCCCACC